rnacentral:rRNA from 1 species
CUAUUGCGAAUAUGCCAGUCGGGGGAUGGCUCGGCUCAAGCGCUGAUGAAGGACGUGCCAAGCUGCGAUAAGCCCUGGCGAGGUGCAUGGAACCUUUGAACCAGGGAUUUCCUAAUGGGACAUCUUAGCGAAAGCUGAUCUGUCGAGAUCGGGAACGCCCCGGAUUGAAACAUCUUAGUAGGGGCAGGAGAAGAAAUCAACCGAGAUGCCGUCAGUAACGGCGAGUGAACGCGGCACAGCCUAAACCGAAUCCCUUCGGGGAGAUGUGGAGUUAUAAGCUGGGUUGUAUGAUUGGCGACGGAAUACGAACUGGCCUGGAACGGCCGACCUUAGAGUGUGAUAGUCACGUAGUAGUAACGGAGCCGAUCUUGACCUAAGUCUUGAGUACCGUGAGUCGGAUAUCUCGCGGGAAUUUGGGAGUCACCAACUUCCAAGGCUAAAUACGUCUUGAGACCGAUAGUGUAGUAGUAGGGUGACCGAAAGCUGAAAAGCACCCCAAAUAGGGAGGUGCAAAGAGCCUGAAAUCGGCUGGCGAUAGUGCGUCGGGGCGCGCAAGGAUCUUUCAGUAGAAGGAGGCAGCUGCGAGGCUGUAGUACGAUACUGGAUGCCGGUGUCCUGACAUGCGUUUUGAAGAACGAACCAAGGAGUGCAUUCUUACGGCGAGGCUAAACCAGUUAAUUGGUGGAGCCGUAGCGAAAGCGACAAGGCCGCAUCGCGAGAGAGGGUCGUCGUAUACAAGUGCGAGGAGUCGUAAGGAUGCGACCCGAAGCCGGGCGAUCUAGGCGUUGGCAGGUUGAAGCGUGGCGAAAGCCGCGUGGAGGACCGUUAACGGUGUUGAUAUGCAAAUCACUCGUGUGACCUGCGUCUAGGGGUGAAAGUCCAAUCGAGGUCGGAAAUAGCUGGUUCCUUCCGAAACAUGUCGCAGCAUGACCUGACCUGAGGCCGUCGGCGGUGUAGAGCACUGAUUGGGGAUUCCGGACGGGAGACCGUUCGCUCCCUUGUCAAACUCCAAAGCCGCCGUCGCUGUAGAAGGUCGGUAGUCCGGGCUGGUGGGUAAGCUACUAGUCCGUGAGGGAGACAACCCAGACCGUGGUUAAGGUCCCCAAAUGUCGGCCAAGUGUCAACACUUAAGGGUGUCCUAGUCCUAAGACAACUGGGAGGUUAGCUUAGAAGCAGCUAUCCUUUAAAGAGUGCGUAACAGCUCACCAUUCGAGGUUUAGGGCCCCGAAAAUGGACGGGGCUAAGCCGACUACCGAUACCACGGAGCACCGCGAGGUGAUCUAGUAGGAAGGCGUUGUGCGUGGGUGGAAGCUGCUCUGUGAGGAGCAGUGGACCGCGCAGAAACGAAAAUCUUGGUAGCAGUAGCAGCAAAGUCGGGUGUGAAUCCCGAUCGCCGUAAGGGCCAGGGUUCCUCGGCAAUGAUCGUCAGCCGAGGGUCAGUCGGUCCUAAGGUGUGCCGUAAUUCGAGCACAUCAAAUGGGAAACAGGUUAAUAUUCCUGUACCGUUGAGCGUUAAAACCGACACUUUUGGGCAUGGUUGGCAUCUUCGCCAGGGUGUUCAAGCGUUUAAGUUGGGGGAGAGCCGUCAUGGCGAGAACCCGAUGAAUGCGUGAUGACGCAAGCAAUCAAAUUCCAAGAGUCCGUGAAAAGGGAGUUCAACGACCGUACCGAGAACCAACACAGGUGCCCCAAGCUAAGAAGGCUAAGGCGUGUCGGCAUAAUCUAGCUAAGGGAAUUCGGCAAAUUAGCCAUGUAACUUCGGGAUAAGUGGUGCCUGCUUCGUAGGAAGCAGGUCGCAGUGACGAGGGAGCUCUAACUGUCUAAUAACAACAUAGGUGAUUGCAAACCCGAAAGGGCUAGUACAAUCACUGAAUCCUGCCCAGUGCAGGUACCUGAAAACCUGUUUCAACGGGAAGAAGGGCCUGUCAACGGCGGGGGUAACUAUGACCCUCUUAAGGUAGCGUAGUACCUUGCCGCUUAAUUGGCGGCUUGCAUGAAUGGAUCAAUGAGAGUCCCACUGUCCCUAGCUGGUACCCGGUGAACCUUACAUUCCAGUGCAGAGUCUGGAGACCCCUAAUGGGAAGUGAAGACCCCGUGGAGCUUUACUGCAGCCUGCCGUUGGGUUGUGGUUCUGAUUGUAGAGCAUAGGUAGGAGGCGUCGAAGCCUGGGCGCCAGCUCAGGUGGAGCCGAUCUUGGAAUACUACCCUUUUGGAGCUACCGCCCUAACUCAGUGAUGAGGACCCCGGUAGGUGGGCAGUUUGGGUGGGGCGCCACUCCCUAGAAAAGAUAUCUAGGGAGCCCUAAGGUUGACUCAGUUGGGUCGGAAACCCAACGAAGAGUGUAAAAGCAAAAGUCGGCCUGACGUUGUUUCGCAUAGCAAGAAACGACGAGACGAAAGUCGGGUUUAGCGAACCUCUCAGCCUCCUUGGUGGGGGCGUUAGAUGACAGAAAAGCUACCCCGGGGAUAACAGAGUCGUCACCGGCAAGAGCACAUAUCGACCCGGUGGCUUGCUACCUCGAUGUCGGUUCUUUCCAUCCUGGCCGUGCAGCAGCGGCCAAGGGUGAGGUUGUUCGCCUAUUAAAGGAGAUCGUGAGCUGGGUUUAGACCGUCGUGAGACAGGUCGGUUACUAUCUGUCAGGGGUGUAUUGCAGUCUGAGGGUAAGCUGGUUUUAGUACGAGAGGAACAAGCCAGCGGCGCCUCUGGUCGAUCGGUUGUCUGGCAAGGCAUUGCCGAGCAGCUACGCGCUAAGGGAUAAGGGCUGAAAGCAUCUAAGCCCGAAACCUCCCCUGAAAAGAGACUGCUUUGAGGGCUCUCGUAGAAGACGAGUUUGAUAGAGUCGGGGUGUACGCACCAAGGCAACGAGGUGUUCAGCCCGCGACCACUAACAGCCCGCGCAUUGUCC